rnacentral:rRNA from 1 species
ACGGAAGGCAGCAGUGGGGAAUAUUGCACAAUGGGGGAAACCCUGAUGCAGCGACGCCGCGUGAGCGAAGAAGUAUUUCGGUAUGUAAAGCUCUAUCAGCAGGGAAGAUCAUGACGGUACCUGACUAAGAAGCCCCGGCUAACUACGUGCCAGCAGCCGCGGUAAUACGUAGGGGGCAAGCGUUAUCCGGAUUUACUGGGUGUAAAGGGAGCGUAGACGGCGAAGCAAGUCUGGUGUGAAACCCCGGGGCUCAACCUCGGGCCUGCAUUGGAAACUGUUUUGCUUGAGUGCCGGAGAGGUAAGCGGAAUUCCUAGUGUAGCGGUGAAAUGCGUAGAUAUUAGGAGGAACACCAGUGGCGAAGGCGGCUUACUGGACAGUAACUGACGUUGAGGCUCGAAAGCGUGGGGAGCAAACAGGAUUAGAUACCCUGGUA